rnacentral:rRNA from 1 species
AAUGUAUCGGAACGUGCCCAGUUGUGGGGGAUAACUGCUCGAAAGAGCAGCUAAUACCGCAUACGACCUGAGGGUGAAAGCGGGGGAUCGCAAGACCUCGCGCAAUUGGAGCGGCCGAUAUCAGAUUAGGUAGUUGGUGGGGUAAAGGCCCACCAAGCCAACGAUCUGUAGCUGGUCUGAGAGGACGACCAGCCACACUGGGACUGAGACACGGCCCAGACUCCUACGGGAGGCAGCAGUGGGGAAUUUUGGACAAUGGACGCAAGUCUGAUCCAGCCAUGCCGCGUGCGGGAAGAAGGCCUUCGGGUUGUAAACCGCUUUUGUCAGGGAAGAAAAGGGCGACUCUAAUACAGUUGCCUCAUGACGGUACCUGAAGAAUAAGCACCGGCUAACUACGUGCCAGCAGCCGCGGUAAUACGUAGGGUGCAAGCGUUAAUCGGAAUUACUGGGCGUAAAGCGUGCGCAGGCGGUUAUGCAAGACAGAUGUGAAAUCCCCGGGCUCAACCUGGGAACUGCAUUUGUGACUGCAUGGCUAGAGUACGGUAGAGGGGGGGAUGGAAUUCCGCGUGUAGCAGUGAAAUGCGUAGAUAUGCGGAGG